UGAUUCUAAGAGAAAGCACAGCUGGGGAUGGUCACUUUUUUCCUGAAUUAUUUAUUUACAUUUGGUAUCACAAACUCUUCAGAAUCCCUAAACCACAACUUGGGUGAGAACUAGCCACAGGACAAAGCACAGCUGGACUGUAGUGAAGAGCACCAAAGUACAGAAAAUCUAAAAAGAAUUAUGAAGACAAAAGAAAGGGUCUGACACCCCAAGCCAGGACAGUGGGUUAUUCAUUUGCAUCAGGGAUUGCAGGAAGAGCAUUUGCAUUGUAAAAAAAAAUCACAAGUGGGAAGAAGCUAGAAUGGCCUCUACACCCAGCAAGGGAAAGGAACAUUAUCUGGGGCUACACUUCAGAAGAAUACAUUUCAAAGGUUUACUGGAGUAUACAGAGAGAGGGAGAGAACCCCCAAGUUAUCCUUGCCCUGAGGAGACAAAGAAAACCAAGCGCACUGGGCUCUGUGAUCCUGACUAGCCAGCCAUGUUGGAAGAAUGACUAUGUUGAAAAAACUUUCAACAAGAAGGCUCACGUUGGUUGAAUUUCAGUCUUGCUAGUGUAUUUUCACUAUUCUUUGUAACCAUUUCUAUCCCUACUACUUCUAACUUGGUAUCACCUAAAUCUAUGUCCUUAUGUAGUUAAACUUGUUUUACUAUAAACCAACUCACUGCUGUGAUUGAAAGGAAGGGUGCGUUAACCCCAGUUAAGUUAAUAAGCUGUUGUGUCCUUUCUCUUUAAAGGAGAAGCAAACUUGUAAGCUUUUCUGAAUGUUCCAGCAAGAGGGACUGGACACUACCAGGGAGACGGUUUGGGGGAAACUCAGGACUGGAAAGUCUGAUGGUGUUGCCCUGCAAGGAGUAACCAGGCUGACGGAAGUCAGAGUGACUCCAUUUUGUGCUGAAAGCACAUUGCUGAUAUCAGGGCUCUGAGCCAAAGCUGCACAGUACAGAGGCACCCAGGGCUAGAGGGCAGGUGCUGACACAACCCCUUACUGGUCUGGGUUGACUCCUAAAGCAUCACAGAAGGGUACUGCUUUUACCCAUGUUUUCUGAAACUUGACAACUGAGGAGGGAAGAUGUAUAUAUUGUACCGCUGAAAAGGAAAGGAAAUGACCAUUUUUCUCUUUUAAUCUGAAGACAGAACAUUAAAUUGAACAAUAUGUUGGUGUGGUGUACACAAUACUGUUCUUAUGAGCUUAACUUCAUGUGAAAUUAAGAUGGAAAUUGGUCUCUAAUCUCUCUCACAUAUUCCCAUGCAACUGCUUUAAUAAAUUAUGACACUUUCUGCCACCAGUUUCAAGUUUAAGAAUGUCAAUAUGUUCCUCAGUUGCUCCAAGGUGAGAAAAGGCUUCUUCCCUGGUGGAAUGAGUCAUGAUAAGAAAAAUGGAUGCUUAUUUAAACUCAUAGUGACUUCAGUGGGAGCUGGAUAAAGCUUUUAAUGCCUAAACUGCCAUAUCAGCUUCAUGGGGAAGGAAGGAUUAAGCAAUAUCUUACCUCUCAGACAAGACAGACACCGAGAGCAGGGCUUUAUCUUCUUUCUAAGCAUAGUGCUUUGCUUUACAAUAUAUUAGUGUCUUUGUGGUUCAAUCUUACAUUAAUUCAUUGUAUUAUAUAUAUAUAUAUAGGACACAGAGUAACUCUUGUAUCCUUAUAUGUAACUAAAUUGGCCAGGCUGUGAAAGCACUAAUGCCAGGAAGGCAGUCUGUGAAGCAAUCCCAUCCAUAUUUUGAGAAUGAGGUAGUCAUCUGGAGCGCAGUGCAGCGUUGAGAGAUAUCUGAUAUUGCUGUAAUAAUUACAUUUGAAGUUCAAAUUGAUGAAAACUAAAAUAUCUCAGCAUCAGGGUUUUGUACCCUUAGAUGGCUGUAAAGGUUGGCACAAGUCAAAGAAUUAUCUUCGAUCAAGUGCUGAUAUCUAGACUACAACUUGGUAACAAACUUUAGUAGCACUCUAUGGACAGCAGCCCGUAGUUGAACCUUUUCAACAGACACUUUUAUUACUGCACUGAUGAGCUGGAGGAGAGGCUUGCAGGAACCCUUUGUUAAUUGAUGCAAACUUUUGGCUUUCUAAAAGAGAAUCUUUUUAUUUAAAAGUAAGUUUUUAGCCCAAUUCCUUGUGAAGGGAGCCUUGAAAACAUAAGUGAUAACAGAUUUCUGAGACUAAUAAAAAUUUGCAGCUGGGACCCAUUUCUGCAUCAGGAGGCUGAGGAGACCUAAAGAUUCAAUCCCACUAUAAUUUGUAUGUAAAAUAAGUAAGUUAUGUUUGGGCAUAUCCCAAAGAAUUACAUAAAUCCUUAGGCUAGCCCUGCAUAGUGGUGUGGAGGAGAUAGGAGAGGUGAGGG